rnacentral:rRNA from 1 species
GGGACACGUGGUAUCCUGUCUGAAUAUGGGGGGACCAUCCUCCAAGGCUAAAUACUCCUGACUGACCGAUAGUGAACCAGUACCGUGAGGGAAAGGCGAAAAGAACCCCGGCGAGGGGAGUGAAAAAGAACCUGAAACCGUGUACGUACAAGCAGUGGGAGCACGCUUAGGCGUGUGACUGCGUACCUUUUGUAUAAUGGGUCAGCGACUUAUAUUCUGUAGCAAGGUUAACCGAAUAGGGGAGCCGAAGGGAAACCGAGUCUUAACUGGGCGUUAAGUUGCAGGGUAUAGACCCGAAACCCGGUGAUCUAGCCAUGGGCAGGUUGAAGGUUGGGUAACACUAACUGGAGGACCGAACCGACUAAUGUUGAAAAAUUAGCGGAUGACUUGUGGCUGGGGGUGAAAGGCCAAUCAAACCGGGAGAUAGCUGGUUCUCCCCGAAAGCUAUUUAGGUAGCGCCUCGUGAAUUCAUCUCCGGGGGUAGAGCACUGUUUCGGCAAGGGGGUCAUCCCGACUUACCAACCCGAUGCAAACUGCGAAUACCGGAGAAUGUUAUCACGGGAGACACACGGCGGGUGCUAACGUCCGUCGUGAAGAGGGAAACAACCCAGACCGCCAGCUAAGGUCCCAAAGUCAUGGUUAAGUGGGAAACGAUGUGGGAAGGCCCAGACAGCCAGGAUGUUGGCUUAGAAGCAGCCAUCAUUUAAAGAAAGCGUAAUAGCUCACUGGUCGAGUCGGCCUGCGCGGAAGAUGUAACGGGGCUAAACCAUGCACCGAAGCUGCGGCAGCGACGCUUAUGCGUUGUUGGGUAGGGGAGCGUUCUGUAAGCCUGUGAAGGUGUGCUGUGAGGCAUGCUGGAGGUAUCAGAAGUGCGAAUGCUGACAUAAGUAACGAUAAAGCGGGUGAAAAGCCCGCUCGCCGGAAGACCAAGGGUUCCUGUCCAACGUUAAUCGGGGCAGGGUGAGUCGACCCCUAAGGCGAGGCCGAAAGGCGUAGUCGAUGGGAAACAGGUUAAUAUUCCUGUACUUGGUGUUACUGCGAAGGGGGGACGGAGAAGGCUAUGUUGGCCGGGCGACGGUUGUCCCGGUUUAAGCGUGUAGGCUGG